UUCCGGUUGAUCCUGCCGGAGGUUACUGCUAUCGGUGUUCGACUAAGCCAUGCGUGUCAAAUGUUCUUCGUGAACAUGGCGGACUGCUCAGUAACACGUGGAUAACCUGCCCUUAGGUUUGGCAUAACUCCGGGAAACUGGAGAUAAUUCCGAAUAGGUCAAAUAUGCUGGAAUGCUUUUUGGCCAAAAGACCUCGGUUGCCUAAGGAUGGAUCUGCGGUCUAUCAGGUUGUAGUGGGUGUAACGUACCUACUAGCCUACGACGGAUAUGGGUUGUGAGAGCAAGAGCCCAGAGAUGGAUUCUGAGACAUGAAUCCAGGCCCUACGGGGCGCAGCAGGCGCGAAAACUUUACAAUGCGGGAAACCGCGAUAAGGGGACACCGAGUGCCAGCAUUUAUGUUGGCUGUCCACAUGUGUAAACGGCAUGUGUUAGCAAGGGCCGGGCAAGACCGGUGCCAGCCGCCGCGGUAACACCGGCGGCCCGAGUGGUAAUCACUUUUAUUGGGUCUAAAGGGUCCGUAGCCGGUUUGAUCAGUUCUUCGGGAAAUCUGACAGCUCAACUGUUAGGCUUCCGGGGAAUACUGUCAGACUUGGGACCGGGAGAGGUAAGAGGUACUACAGGGGUAGGAGUGAAAUCUUGUAAUCCCUGUGGGACCACCAGUGGCGAAGGCGUCUUACCAGAACGGGUCCGACGGUGAGGGACGAAAGCUGGGGGCACGAACCGGAUUAGAUACCCGGGUAGUCCCAGCCGUAAACGAUGUUCGCUAGGUGUCAGGGGCGGUGCGACCGCUUCUGGUGCCGUAGGGAAGCCGUGAAGCGAACCACCUGGGAAGUACGGCCGCAAGGCUGAAACUUAAAGGAAUUGGCGGGGGAGCACUACAACGGGUGGAGCCUGCGGUUUAAUUGGAUUCAACGCCGGAA
rnacentral:rRNA from 1 species